UCCUUGAGGACUAGUGGUCAGGCCACAGUGCUCUCACCGCUGUGGCUCAGGUUCGAUUCCCAGCCAGGGAA
rnacentral:tRNA from 1 species